UUGGAGAGUUUGAUCCUGGCUCAGGACGAACGCUGGCGGCGUGCCUAAUACAUGCAAGUCGAGCGGACUUGAUGAGAAGCUUGCUUCUCUGAUGGUUAGCGGCGGACGGGUGAGUAACACGUAGGCAACCUGCCUGUAAGACUGGGAUAACUACCGGAAACGGUAGCUAAUACCGGAUAAUUUAUUUCUUCUCCUGGAGAGAUAAUGAAAGACGGAGCAAUCUGUCACUUGCAGAUGGGCCUGCGGCGCAUUAGCUAGUUGGUGAGGUAACGGCUCACCAAGGCGACGAUGCGUAGCCGACCUGAGAGGGUGAACGGCCACACUGGGACUGAGACACGGCCCAGACUCCUACGGGAGG
rnacentral:rRNA from 1 species